UGACCCUAAUCCCCGGCGCCUCGUUCUUCUUCCUCUGAAUCUCUUGUAGAGAGAGAGAGAGAGAGAGAGAGAGAGAGAGAGAGAGCGAUUCAAAAAUGGUUUAGAGGUUGACCUAUCGCAAGAGGCAUAGCUAUGCCACGAAAUCGAACCCGACCCGCAUCGUCAAAACCCCUGGUGGGAAACUUACCUACCAGACUGCCAAGAAGAGGGCGAAAGGACCAAGGUGCCCUGUGACUGGAAAGAGAAUCCAAGGGGUGGGAUAACGACAUUGAUUGAUAUGCCCCCUCAACAGAUAUCUUUCCACAGUGUCUGUAGAACACUAAAACUCAAGGUUACUUGCUGAUACACAGUUUGUAUUUAACAUAUUGAGUAUGGAGAAGUGAAGAGUCUGGUCAGUGAAGUUUGCAUUGUGAAAAGCGCUACAUCUCAGAUGCUUCCAUGUGAGAAAAAAGGUCUUGCUGAAGUGAUGCAUAAUGAAGCUCUUGCUAAAUAGAAAAUUACUUCUUAUCUAUGUAAACAAUUUAUGUAUCACACUAGUAUUUUGGUGAAUGUAUUAUUGAAUAUAAUUGUAUUUGAUAUUGAAAUAUAAU